CUCCCGCUCUUAAAGCGCACACUUCCUGCAGGCGCCGCCCCACGCGCCCCCCGCCCGAAUCAGAGCUUGGGGUUUGGGGCUUGGGACCGGGACCCAGAGCCAAGCUUCAGCUUUUGGAGAAGUUAAGUCCCAAGUGACCAGAUGAAAAAUGGCUCGCGAAGCAACAUGUGAAUUCGGGCAAGGAGAAUGGCGUUCAAGGGGUUAAUGAAGAGCUUGGUUGCCCAGAGUCUGCAGUGAGGUCCCAGGGUUUGAACUCGGGUUGUCAGGUUUACGUGGCAAGCUGAGUCAUCUUGCCUAUCACCAGCAUUUUCAUGUCACAGAAGAUGAACUGCACGGAAAAAAAUCACAGCAAUCAACAGCUGACUCAAAACAUGAGUCACAAAAAUUAAGAGAGAGCACCAUCUGAAUGGAGAGAGCACCAUCUGAAUGGAGAGAGCACCAUCUGAAUGGAGAGAGCACCAUCUGAAUGGAGAGAGCAAGCAAGGAGCGCUGUAUUUACAGAAAGGGUAAGCACAAGUGGCCCGGGCACCCGAGGAUCACGAUGGCUCUUCAGUUAGCUGUCAGCGCGCAAUAUAAAUCCUUGCUAUGUGAGCAAGUUGGAUCCAAUUCUUCAUCAAAGGUACUGUGCUCAUGGAGGCUGUCAGAUGCUCCCCGUCAAAUGAAUCCGCAUCCGCAGUCCAAAGGCCAGAGGAAAGGGGAUCGGCAGGGACAGAAGACAAACCUUCAGAAAUGCUGUGCAGAAAAGGCCGCC
ensembl:lincRNA Gm11608 predicted gene 11608